UACGUAGGGUGCGAGCGUUGUCCGGAAUUAUUGGGCGUAAAGAGCUUGUAGGCGGUCUGUCGCGUCUGCUGUGAAAAUCCGGGGCUCAACCCCGGACCUGCAGUGGGUACGGGCAGACUAGAGUGUGGUAGGGGAGACUGGAAUUCCUGGUGUAGCGGUGAAAUGCGCAGAUAUCAGGUGGAACACCGGUGGCGAAGGCGGUUCUCUGGGCCGGUACUGACGCUGAGGAGCGAAAGCGUGGGUAGCAAACAGG
rnacentral:rRNA from 1 species